rnacentral:rRNA from 1 species
UUCCGUAGGUGAACCUGCGGAAGGAUCAUUCACACGCAUCCAAUCGAAUCAUGUGAACAGUGUGGCGUGAAUGUCUGCUUUGUGGUGAACAACCUGGGGCAGUCGAUUCAAGGGUAGUGGGGCAAGUUUGGUGGCCUUUGUGUCGCCCGGGCUUGUUGGCCUGCUACCACGGGGUUUGACUUAUCAUCUCGGAACUUGAACUUCAUCAUUGGUGGUUUUCCACCAGGUUUACCUUUACACAACUUUCAGCGACGGAUGUCUCGGUUCGAACAACGAUGAAGGGCGCAGCGAAGUGUGAUAAACAUUGUGAAUUGCAGAAUUCCGUGAACCAACAGGGUUUUGAACGCAUACUGCGCUUUCGGGAUAUCCCUGAAAGCAUGCCUGCUUCAGUGUCUACUUCUUAUCAUGCCAGCGGCGCUUUCCUGGCUUCUCGUCAGGUAAAGGCUGUUCUGCGCGUGUCUGUGCAUCUAAGUGCCAGUCCUGGCCUUCGAUGCAUCUAGUGCAUAGGGAAGCUCUCCGGCGAGCAAACAAGUGAGCAUCUCUUCGAUGUCUUCUCUUUGUCUUGCUGUGAGCGGUUUCCCUUAUCUCUAUUGGACGCCUUACGGCGGCCUUCUUUCCAAGACAUGAAGUUAGGUCAGCAAACCCGCUGAAUUUAAGCAUAUCA